rnacentral:snRNA from 1 species
AGUUUAUGGGUUUCCCAACUCA